GGGCCUAACACAUGCAAGUCGAACGAAGUCUUCGGACUUAGUGGCGCACGGGUGAGUAACGCGUGGGAACCUACCCCUAGGUACGGAAUAACUUCUGGAAACGGAAGCUAAUACCGUAUGUGCCCUUUCACCAUGGAGGUGAUUGGGGAAAGAUUUAUCGCCUUGGGAUGGGCCCGCGUUGGAUUAGCUUGUUGGUGAGGUAACGGCUCACCAAGGCUGCGAUCGGUAGCUGGUCUGAGAGGAUGAUCAGCCACACUGGGACUGAGACACGGCCCAGACUCCUACGGGAGGCAGCAGUGGGGAAUAUUGGACAAUGGGGGCAACCCUGAUCCAGCCAUGCCGCGUGAGUGACGAAGGCCUUAGGGUUGUAAAGCUCUUUCACCCGUGAAGAUGAUGACGGUAGCGGGAGAAGAAGCCCCGGCUAACUCCGUGCCAGCAGCCGCGGUAAUACGGAGGGGGCGAGCGUUGUUCGGAAUUACUGGGCGUAAAGGGCGCGUAGGCGGCCGGUUUCGUUAGGUGUGAAAGCCCCGGGCUCAACCUGGGAACUGCACUUAAUACGGGCUGGCUCGAGAGCGGGAGAGGAGUGUGGAAUUCCCAGUGUAGAGGUGAAAUUCGUAGAUAUUGGGAAGAACACCGGUGGCGAAGGCGGCACUCUGGCCCGUUUCUGACGCUGAGGCGCGAAAGCGUGGGGAGCAAACAG
rnacentral:rRNA from 1 species